CAAGCCUUGACAUCCCGGUGACAGCACAUGUAAUGUGUGUUUCCUUCGGGACACUGGAGACAGGUGGUGCAUGGUUGUCGUCAGCUCGUGUCGUGAGAUGUUGGGUUAAGUCCCGCAACGAGCGCAACCCUUAUCUUUAGUAGCCAGCGCGUAAAGGUGGGCACUCUAGAGAGACUGCCAGGGACAACCUGGAGGAAGGUGGGGAUGACGUCAAAUCAUCAUGCCCCUUAUGGCUUGGGCUACACACGUGCUACAAUGGCGUAAACAAAGGGAGGCAGUGCCGUGAGGCUGAGCAAAUCCCAAAAAUAACGUCUCAGUUCGGAUUGUAGUCUGCAACCCGACUACAUGAAGCUGGAAUCGCUAGUAAUCGCGGAUCAGAAUGCCGCGGUGAAUACGUUCCC
rnacentral:rRNA from 1 species